rnacentral:rRNA from 1 species
GACGAACGCUGGCGGCGUGCUUAACACAUGCAAGUCGAACGAAGUGGCGAACGGGUGAGUAACGCGUAAUCAACCUGCCCUUCAGGGGGGGACAACAGUUGGAAACGACUGCUAAUACCGCAUACUGAAGGAGGGGAUUGCGUCUGAUUAGCUAGUUGGCGGGGUAACGGCCCACCAAGGCGAUGAUCAGUAGCCGGGCUGAGAGGAUGAACGGGCAAAUGGGGACUGGGAAACGGCCCAGACUCCUACGGGAGGGAGCAGUGGGGAAUCGUCCGAAAUGGACGAAAGUCUGACGGAGCAACGCCGCGUGAGGGAUGACGGCCUUCGGGUUGGAAAGCUCUGUUAAUCGGGACGCGGUACCGGAAGAGAAAGCCACGGCUAACUACGUGCCAGCCGCCGCGGUAAUUC